AUGGCUCUCACGACGCACCCGCCGCUCCGGCUCCACGCGCGCCCUCCCGCCCUCGCCGCCGCCCACCGGCGCCGCGCGCUCCUCCCGCCGCGCCGAGCCCGCCCCUGCCGCUGCUGCGCCGGCGCCGGCGCCGACGCGGGGAAGGCGCAGGCGAGGCGGGCGUACCCGUACGACGAGAUCGAGCCGAGGUGGCAGGCGCACUGGGAGGAGCGCCGCACGUUCCGCACCCCGGACAUCGGCGACGGCCUCGACACCUCCAGGCCCAAGUGCUACAUCCUCGACAUGUUUCCCUACCCCAGUGGGGCUGGGCUGCAUGUUGGGCACCCCCUUGGGUACACGGCGACCGACAUUCUGUCGAGAUUCAAGCGUAUGAAAGGCUUCAAUGUCCUGCAUCCCAUGGGAUGGGACGCGUUUGGCCUUCCUGCCGAGCAGUACGCUAUCCAGACGGGAACCCACCCAAAGACUACAACUGCGCGCAACAUUGACCACUUCCGCACACAGCUUAAAUCAUUAGGAUUUUCAUAUGACUGGGAUCGUGAAAUCUCCACAACAGAACCGGCCUACUAUAAAUGGACGCAAUGGAUUUUUCUUCAACUACUGAAAAGAGGAUUGGCUUACCAGGCUGAGGUACCGGUCAACUGGUGCCCUGCUCUUGGGACUGUUCUGGCGAAUGAAGAAGUAAUUGAUGGUGUAAGUGAACGUGGCGGUUAUCCUGUUAUAAGAAAGCCAAUGCGCCAGUGGAUGCUGAGGAUAACAUCUUAUGCUGAUCGACUUCUUGAAGAUUUGGAUGAUCUAGAUUGGCCUGAGAGCAUAAAAGAAAUGCAAAGAAAUUGGAUAGGGAGAUCGGAAGGUGCUGAGCUUGAAUUUUGUGCAGUUGACCAGGAAGGACAUGAUUUAGGUGCCAAAUUGACAGUUUAUACAACAAGGCCUGACACCAUUUUUGGUGCAACAUAUCUUGUUGUAGCACCUGAGCAUGUUUUGUUGCCAUCUCUAACAUCUGAGGAACAACGCGUGCAUGUAGAGGAAUACACAGAAGUUGCAGCAAGAAAGAGUGAACUUGAGAGAACUGAACUCCAGAAGGAAAAAACUGGAGUUUUCAGUGGUUCUUAUGCUAAGAACCCAGCAACCGGGGAGAUAAUCCCAAUUUGGGUGGCAGAUUAUGUCUUAGCAAGCUACGGCACUGGGGCUAUCAUGGCGGUGCCUGCACAUGAUUCCCGUGACCAUGAGUUUGCCUUGAAAUAUGAACUUCCAAUCAUUAAGGUUGUAAGUCCACCCAAUGGCAAUUGUGAUCCCGAGGAGGCUUAUGCAGAUGAUGGUAUCAUGAUAAACUCAUCCAGUUCUUCAUCUGGGUUAAAUAUCAAUGGUAUGCUUUCACAAGAUGCUGCUUUAGAAGUUACUGCUUGGGUAGAGAGUAAUGGAUUUGGAAAGAAAAAGGUAAACUACAAGCUUCGAGAUUGGCUUUUUGCUAGACAACGUUAUUGGGGCGAACCUUUCCCUGUUAUUUACCUUGAUGAUACGAAUGAAAUGGUGCCUCUUACAGAAAACCAGUUGCCUUUAACUCUUCCUGAAUUGGAUGACUUCACUCCUACUGGUACCGGGGAGCCCCCUUUGACCAAAGCAGCAGAUUGGGUUAGAACCACCGAUCUUUUAACUGGGAAGCCUGCAAGAAGAGAAACAAGCACCAUGCCACAAUGGGCGGGUUCAUGCUGGUACUAUUUGAGAUUCAUGGAUCCAAAAAAUUCCAGCACAUUGGUUGACAAGGCUAAAGAAAGUUAUUGGGGUCCAGUAGACAUCUAUGUCGGUGGUGCUGAACAUUCUGUCUUGCAUUUGCUGUAUGCAAGAUUUUGGCAUAAGGUUCUGUAUGAUAUUGGCGUGGUGUCCACUAAAGAGCCCUUCAAGUGCUUGAUAAACCAAGGAUUAAUACUAGGAGAAGUUGAGUAUACUGCAUAUAGAGACAACGAAGGCAAAUGGGUUUCUGCAGACUCAGAUUCAAAUCUGAGUGAUUGCAUCCAAGAAAAAGUACCAGCAGAUAAGAUCACAAAAGUUGGAGAUCAUUAUGUGCUGAAGGAUGAUCCAAACAUACGUCUAAAUGCCCGCGCAUACAAAAUGAGUAAAAGUCGAGGAAAUGUCAUCAACCCCGAUGACGUGGUUUCAGAAUAUGGUGCCGAUUCUCUCCGCUUAUAUGAGAUGUUCAUGGGACCGUUGAGAGAUUCAAAAACAUGGAGCACUGGUGGAAUUGAAGGUGUGCAUCGGUUUCUAGGUAGGACUUGGAGACUCGUGGUUGGCGCACCAUUACCGGAUGGAUCAUAUAAAGAUGGAACUACGGCAACUGAUGUCGAGCCAACCUUUGAGCAGCUCCGUGUUCUUCACAAAUGCAUUGCAAGGGUUUCAGAGGAGAUUCAGGAAACAAGGUUUAACACUGCAAUUUCCGCAAUGAUGGAGUUUGUGAAUGCAGCAUACAAGUGGGACACUCAACCGAAAUCUGUUAUAGACUCCUUUGUUCUGUUGCUAGCACCUUUUGCACCACACUUGGCUGAGGAGCUUUGGUUUCGUCUUGGACACUCACAAUCAUUGGCUCAUGAACAGUUUCCUGAGGCAAAGAAUGAGUAUUUGAAGGAAUCAGAGAUUGUGCUCCCCGUGCAAAUCAAUGGGAAGACCAGGGGUACAAUCCUUGUUGACAAGGAGUGCUCCGAGGAUGAUGUGUUCCAAAUAGCAGCCUCAGACGAGAGACUCUCCAAAUAUUUGGAUGGGAAGGCCAUCAGGAAGAGAAUUUAUGUGCCUGGAAGGAUCUUGAAUGUUAUACUAGAUCAACAAAAGGCAAGGGUGUGA
rnacentral:rRNA from 1 species